GUCAACACUCAGAAAAAUCCCAUGUUUCUGGGCACCGGAGUUGGGAGCAGGGGGAUGAGGGAUCCUGUCAGCUGAAGAAGGUGGAGACAAUCAUAGAAGAAAGCGGGUAAAAGGGGUUCCCUUAUCCCGAAUAUGAAACCACACAGGUCUGAGCUCCCCUCGGAGCUACCUAGGCAUGCGACAGACCCCAAACAACACUGCAGCCUUUGAAAACUGAAAGGAGACAGGAAUCACUAUCCACAGAAAGCCAGACAGAACUUCCAGAAUGUCAGGCCUCUGAGCCCAAGCCAAGCCAAGCCAUCGCAUCCCCUGUGACUUGCAUGUACACAUCCAGAUGGCCUGAAGUAACUGAAGACACAAAAGAAGUAAAAAUAGCCUUAACUGAUGACAUUCCACCAUUGUGAUUUGUUUCUGCCCCACCCUAACUGAUCAAUGUACUUUGUAAUCUCCCCCACCCUUAAGAAGGUACUUGGUAAUCAAUCUCCCCCACCCUUAAGAAGGUUCUUUGUAAUUCUCCCCACCCUUGAGAAUGUAUUUUGUGAGAUCCACCCCUGCCUGCAAAACAUUGGUCUUAACUUCACCGCCUAUCCCAAAACCUGUAAGAACUAAUGAUAAUCCACCACCCUUUGCUGACUCUCUUUUC
rnacentral:lncRNA from 1 species